rnacentral:rRNA from 1 species
GAAUUCGCCCUUAGUUUGAUCAUGCUCAGGAUGAACGCUAGCGGCAGGCCUAACACAUGCAAGUCGAGGGGUAACAGGGAGUAGCUUGCUACUUUGCUGACGACCGGCGCACGGGUGCGUAACGCGUAUACAAUCUGCCUUGUACUGGGGGAUAGCCUUUAGAAAUGAAGAUUAAUACCCCAUAGUAUAUGACUGUGGCAUCACAGCCAUAUUAAAGGUUACGGUACAAGAUGAGUAUGCGUCCUAUUAGCUAGAUGGUGUGGUAACGGCACACCAUGGCGACGAUAGGUAGGGGCCCUGAGAGGGGGAUCCCCCACACUGGUACUGAGACACGGACCAGACUCCUACGGGAGGCAGCAGUGAGGAAUAUUGGACAAUGGAGGCAACUCUGAUCCAGCCAUGCCGCGUGCAGGAAGACUGCCCUAUGGGUUGUAAACUGCUUUUAUACGGGAAGAAACACCCCCACGUGUGGGGGCUUGACGGUACCGUAAGAAUAAGCACCGGCUAACUCCGUGCCAGCAGCCGCGGUAAUACGGAGGGUGCAA